rnacentral:rRNA from 1 species
CCUACGGGGGGCUGCAGUGGGGAAUAUUGGACAAUGGGGGCAACCCUGAUCCAGCCAUGCCGCGUGUGUGAAGAAGGCCCUCGGGUUGUAAAGCACUUUCAGUGAGGAAGAACGCCUGGUGGUUAAUACCCAUCAGGAAAGACAUCACUCACAGAAGAAGCACCGGCUAACUCCGUGCCAGCAGCCGCGGUAAUACGGAGGGUGCGAGCGUUAAUCGGAAUUACUGGGCGUAAAGCGCGCGUGGGUGGCUUGAUAAGCCGGUUGUGAAAGCCCCGGGCUCAACCUGGGAACGGCAUCCGGAACUGUCAAGCUAGAGUGCAGGAGAGGAAGGUAGAAUUCCCGGUGUAGCGGUGAAAUGCGUAGAGAUCGGGAGGAAUACCAGUGGCGAAGGCGGCCUUCUGGACUGACACUGACACUGAGGUGCGAAAGCGUGGGUAGCAAACAGGAUUAGAUACCCCAGUAGUC